CACGUAGGGCGCAAGCGUUGUCCGGAAUUAUUGGGCGUAAAGAGCUCGUAGGUGGUUUGUUACGUCUGCUGUGAAAUCCUAGGGCUUAACCCUGGGCUUGCAGUGGAUACGGGCAGACUAGAGGUAGGUAGGGGAGAAUGGAAUUCCUGGUGUAGCGGUGAAAUGCGCAGAUAUCAGGAGGAACACCGGUGGCGAAGGCGGUUCUCUGGGCCGUAACUGACGCUGAGGAGCGAAAGCCCAGGGGAGCGAACGGG
rnacentral:rRNA from 1 species